rnacentral:rRNA from 1 species
CCAGCACGUUAUGGUGGGCACUCUAAGGAGACUGCCGGUGACAAACCGGAGGAAGGUGGGGAUGACGUCAAGUCAUCAUGGCCCUUACGGCCUGGCUACACACGUGCUACAAUGGUCGGUACAAAGGGUUGCCAAGCCGCGAGGUGGAGCUAAUCCCAUAAAACCGAUCGUAGUCCGGAUCGCAGUCUGCAACUCGACUGCGUGAAGUCGGAAUCGCUAGUAAUCGUGAAUCAGAAUGUCACGGUGAAUACGUUCCCGGGCCUU